rnacentral:rRNA from 1 species
ACACGACUACGAAGUUGAUCCUGGCUCAGAAUCAACGCUGGCGGCGUGCCUCAGACAUGCAAGUCGAACGAUUAAAGCUCUCUUCGGAGAGUGUAUAGAGUGGCGCACGGGUGAGUAACACGUAAGUAAUCUACCCUCGAGUGGGGAAUAACAACCGGAAACGGUUGCUAAUACCGCAUAAUGCAGCGGCACCGCAAGGUGACAGUUGUUAAAGAUUUAUCGCUUGAGGAGGAGCUUGCGGCAGAUUAGCUAGUUGGUAGGGUAACGGCUUACCAAGGCUACGAUCUGUAACCGGUCUAAGAGGACGGUCGGUCACACUGACACUGAAUAACGGGUCAGACUCCUACGGGAGGCAGCAGUCGGGAAUUUUGGGCAAUGGGCGAAAGCCUGACCCAGCAACGCCGCGUGAAGGAUGAAGUAUUUCGGUAUGUAAGCUUCGAAAGAAUAGGAAGAAUUAAUGACGGUACUAUUUAUAAGGUCCGGCUAACUACGUG